rnacentral:rRNA from 1 species
CCUACGGGUGGCAGCAGUGAGGAAUAUUGGUCAAUGGGCGCGAGCCUGAACCAGCCAAGUCGCGUGAAGGAUGACUGCCCUACGGGUUGUAAACUUCUUUUAUCAAGGAAUAAAGUGAGGCACGUGUGCCUUUUUGUAUUUACUUUAUAAAUAAGGAUCGGCGAACUCCGUGCCAGCCGCCCCGGUAAUACGGAGGAUCCGAGCGUUAUCCGGUUUUAUUGGGUUUAAAGGGAGCGUAGAGGGGUUGUUAAGUCAGUUGUGAAAGUUUGGGGGUCAACCGUAAAAUUGCAAUUGAUACUGGCAGUCUUGAGUACAGUUGAGGUAGGCGGAAUGCGUGGUGUAGCGGUGAAAUGCUUAGAUAUCACGAAGAACUCCGAUUGCGAAGGCAGCUUACUAAACUGCCACUGACAUUGAUGCUCGAAAGUGUGGGUAUCAAACAGGAUUAGAUACCCGGGUAGUC